UUUCCUCUUGCUUAGAGUUACAAAGAAGCCAUGGCCCUGGCAUGCCAAAAAAUCUAUUGAUACGUGGCAAACUGUAGAUGAUUUCAUUAGGUAGGGUUAAUAAUGUUUUACAAAGUUUCCUUGGAGCAGAAGUUUAGAACAGGAGAAGGAAGAGGAAUGGUACUUCUGGGAGGCCCUGAGGGGAAGGAGGAGGGGGAACCCUGAGAGGGAAAAUGGCUUUUUGUAGAAGGUGCGUGAUUGGAAUCUGCUCAGGAGCCAAGUCUGGGAGGAGGAAAGGAGGAAAAAAAAGAGCCAUCACUGCUGGUGGAGCGCACCCGAGACGAAUGGACCCCUUCCCCAUUGGAUGGCUGCUGCUUUUUUUCUGCUCCGUUGAAACUCCCCAUCAGUUAAGGCAGAUGUGCAAAUGGACCAAAUCCAGGGCACGAGGCCGCGUCUGCCAUUUUCUACAGCAAUGCCAGUGCUGGAGCCUGGGAGAUGUUUCCCGGUCUCGCUCUGACCCUGAGACGAGGAGGAGGAACAUCUGGAGGGCUAGUCCAAGUUAGA